UGAGAUCUACGGAUGAAAGCAGGGGAUCGCAAGACCUUGUGCUACUAGAGAGGCCGAUGGCAGAUUAGGUAGUUGGUGGGAUAAAAGCUUACCAAGCCGACGAUCUGUAGCUGGUCUGAGAGGACGAUCAGCCACACUGGGACUGAGACACGGCCCAGACUCCUACGGGAGGCAGCAGUGGGGAAUUUUGGACAAUGGGCGCAAGCCUGAUCCAGCAAUGCCGCGUGCAGGAUGAAGGCCUUCGGGUUGUAAACUGCUUUUGUACGGAACGAAAAGCCCUUUGUUAAUACCCUGGGGUCAUGACGGUACCGUAAGAAUAAGCACCGGCUAACUACGUGCCAGCAGCCGCGGUAAUACGUAUGGUGCAAGCGUUAAUCGGAAUUACUGGGCGUAAAGCGUGCGCAGGCGGUUUUGUAAGACAGAGGUGAAAUCCCCGGGCUCACCUGGGAACUGCCUUUGUGACUGCAAGGCUAGAGU
rnacentral:rRNA from 1 species